ACGCACGCUGGCGGCGUGCUUAACACCUGCAAGUCGCACGGAAAGGCCCUGCUUUUGUGGGGUGCUCGAGUGGCGAACGGGUGAGUAACACGUGAGUAACCUGCCCUUGACUUUGGGAUAACUUCAGGAAACUGGGGCUAAUACCGGAUAGGAGCUCCUGCUGCAUGGUGGGGGUUGGAAAGUUUCGGCGGUUGGGGAUGGACUCGCGGCUUAUCAGCUUGUUGGUGGGGUAGUGGCUUACCAAGGCUUUGACGGGUAGCCGGCCUGAGAGGGUGACCGGCCACAUUGGGACUGAGAUACGGCCCAGACUCCUACGGGAGGCAGCAGUGGGGAAUAUUGCACAAUGGGCGGAAGCCUGAUGCAGCAACGCCGCGUGCGGGAUGACGGCCUUCGGGUUGUAAACCGCUUUCGCCUGUGGCGAAGCGUGAGUGACGGUAAUGGGUAAAGAAGCACCGGCUAACUACGUG
rnacentral:rRNA from 1 species